GUCGAGCGAACAGAGAAGGAGCUUGCUCCUUUGACGUUAGCGGCGGACGGGUGAGUAACACGUGGGCAACCUACCUUAUAGUUUGGGAUAACUCCGGGAAACCGGGGCUAAUACCGAAUAAUCUGUUUCACCUCAUGGUGAAAUAUUGAAAGACGGUUUCGGCUGUCGCUAUAGGAUGGGCCCGCGGCGCAUUAGCUAGUUGGUGAGGUAACGGCUCACCAAGGCGACGAUGCGUAGCCGACCUGAGAGGGUGAUCGGCCACACUGGGACUGAGACACGGCCCAGACUCCUACGGGAGGCAGCAGUAGGGAAUCUUCCACAAUGGGCGAAAGCCUGAUGGAGCAACGCCGCGUGAGUGAAGAAGGAUUUCGGUUCGUAAAACUCUGUUGUAAGGGAAGAACAAGUACAGUAGUAACUGGCUGUACCUUGACGGUACCUUAUUAGAAAGCCACGGCUAACUACGUGCCAGCAGCCGCGGUAAUACGUAGGUGGCAAGCGUUGUCCGGAAUUAUUGGGCGUAAAGCGCGCGCAGGUGGUUUCUUAAGUCUGAUGUGAAAGCCCACGGCUCAACCGUGGAGGGUCAUUGGAAACUGGGAGACUUGAGUGCAGAAGAGGAUAGUGGAAUUCCAAGUGUAGCGGUGAAAUGCGUAGAGAUUUGGAGGAACACCAGUGGCGAAGGCGACUAUCUGGUCUGUAACUGACACUGAGGCGCGAAA
rnacentral:rRNA from 1 species